AAAUGAUCCAUGGUCCCAGCUAUGACAAAAACCCACACGGAGAAAUCUCCAGCAACAAAUGCUUAAUGAAGUGCCAGCAAAGCAUCACAUUAUGCAAAGCUGCCCAACUCAUCCGGCGCCUGAUCUGUGCUCAUGGUAACCAGAAGAGGACAUCCGAUCCCCAAGAGUUGAGGUUGAUUGGGAGCAGCCCCACAUGGGGGCUGGAAACCAAAACUCCUAC
rnacentral:lncRNA from 1 species